UUCUUAUCAAGAGAAGUCGAGGGAACGGCCCGAAGACACUUCAGCAACCCCGCGCGUAGCGGAAGGUGCUACUUCCUAAAAGGAAUUUUUCCUUUGAAGAUAAGAG
rfam:Exiguobacterium sibiricum 255-15, complete genome.